GCGCGGUUAGCUCAGUUGGUAGAGCGCGUCGUUGACGUCGACGAGGUCGUAGGUUCGAUCCCUACACCGCGCA
rnacentral:tRNA from 1 species